GCCUGACUGGCUGUUAUCAAGUUCAAGUAAUCCAGGAUAGGCUGUUUGUAUCCUGGUUGGCCUAUUCAUGAUUACUUGCACUGGGUGGCAGCUCCUAGAU
rnacentral:ncRNA from 2 species